UUCACGGAGAGUUUGAUCCUGGCUCAGGACGAAUGCUGGCGGCGUGCUUAACACAUGCAAGUCGAACGGUGAGCCUUCGGGGUGGAUCAGUGGCGAACGGAGUAACACG
rnacentral:ncRNA from 1 species